CAGCAGCCGCGGGAAUACAGAGGGUGCGAGCGUUAAUCGGAUUUACUGGGCGUAAAGCGUGCGUAGGCGGCUAAUUGAGUCGGAUGUGAAAUCCCCGAGCUUAACUUGGGAAUUGCAUUCGAUACUGGUUAGCUAGAGUGUGGGAGAGGAUGGUAGAAUUCCAGGUGUAGCGGUGAAAUGCGUAGAGAUCUGGAGGAAUACCGAUGGCGAAGGCAGCCAUAUGGCCUAACACUGACGCUGAGGUACGAAAGCAUGGGGAGCAAACAGGAUUAGAUACCCCUGUAGUCCCUGUCUCUUAUAA
rnacentral:rRNA from 1 species